UCCUUUCAGAAGCAGAGAAAGCCCUCCAUCUGGCCGCGUCUUUAGCAGGCCGGGCCUUCGCUCCACUCCCCGCCGGCUCACUGGCUCCGCUCAGGCAGAAGUAACAGCAUCAAUAGCGUAAAGCCUCCGCCACUCCAGACCGGCCGGCCAUCUUAACCCAUCUGAUCCACACAGGCGGCCGGCUAAACGGCCAAAUAUGGCCAGCAGACGGAAGCGGAGGGCCCGGCGGUGGCCUGCUUUGACGCCAGGGUCACUGUCGGAUCGGCCCGGGUGCAGAGUCGAGUCACUCUUCCGAAUGUUCCAGAAGGUUCCGGAAUCCUCACAGAAGAAGCCAAGCUUCUGUCUAAACAGAGACACUGCUGCUUGCAUUGGGGAGGGGUGGGCCAACCCUCAGGCCCACUGAAGGCGGGCACUGGGCAUAUUUACUCACCCCGGGCGGAUGGAUUAUAGGACAGUUGCUGUGCAUUGAAAUGUGAGCAAAAUCAGUGGCGGCCAAAUGUCACAGCUAUGAUGAUUAUAUUUGAAGGAAAACAGCAGGAACUACCAAAAAUGUGACAGCAACUGGCUGUUCCAGUAAUGCUUCAAGCUAAUGUGUCAGCGCCUUGUCAUGUUAACAAUAAAACUAUGUAAACUCUGUAAA